rnacentral:rRNA from 1 species
UACGUAGGGUGCGAGCGUUGUCCGGAAUUAUUGGGCGUAAAGAGCUCGUAGGCGGUUUGUCACGUCUGCUGUGAAAUCCCGAGGCUCAACCUCGGGCCUGCAGUGGGUACGGGCAGACUGGAGUGCGGUAGGGGAGAAUGGAAUUCCUGGUGUAGCGGUGGAAUGCGCAGAUAUCAGGAAGAACACCCGUGGCGAAGGCGGCUCUCUGGGACGUGACUGACGCUGAGGAGCGAAAGCGUGGGUAGCAAACAGG